UCGCGUUCUCAGGGCGGGGUGAAAGUCCCCACCGGCGGUGAUGGCGGCUCGUAAGGGCCGCACAAGCCCGCGGGCGCCCGGCGGCUUCGCCGGGGACAGCAGAUCCGGUGCGAUUCCGGGGCCGACGGUUAGAGUCCGGUUAUGAGAACCGCU
rnacentral:ncRNA from 2 species